ensembl:lncRNA
UAGCAUCAUGGGCAGUGUAGUCCGUGCCGCAGGGAGAAUGGACUGCCAUACACGUUAUGUGUCUGUGAGCGAGGGAGGGAAAGGAAAAGUCCGAGCUGUCACGGAGCAAAAACGGGAGCUGGAAACAUGUAAAUAUAAUAAUAACCACUGCAGCCAAGAAGAGUGCCUGACGAGCCCAGCUGCAGAACAUCUGAUGAGAAAUAAACCCGACACCACAAACCAUGCAUAUCGAUCACGUUUCACUCACCUGUCAGGCCCUGAUGGGCGUUAGCAGCGAUAACCAGCAGCACAGAGCCACACCUCUGGGGCCGACCAGCAGCCAUGACCCGAAGACCCCCAAAGAGAGCGGCUGAGACCAAAACCUCGUCAGGAAAAGUUUACGGAAUUUAUAUCAUACUGUUUAUACUUCCUGUUUAUCCAAGCUGGUACCUGGAUGCUAACAGGUGAGCGGCUACUUGGUGAAACUCUGCCCCCUGGUGGUGGGAGUGUACAAAAACACUUAACACAGAUUUCUGUUCAUCACCCAAAAUAAAAGACAAACGUCUGUAGAGCGAGCUAACGCCGAACCGAGAAGUUCAAUCAGAGCAGCAAACACUCGAAAACUGGGGAACAUACAAAUACUUUCAUACAAUACUCUACUAAAAGUACUCAAGUACACUGCAGCCCGGUCCCUCCCAAUAUGGACACGCCCCUUUAGCAAGAAAGCUCAAAGAAAAUCAGGAGUCGUCCCGCUGGUCAUCAUAGCAAACACAUAUUAAUUAGUCACUGCUUCAAGACGCCGUGGGCAGCUUCGAUGACCGUGACGCGGCUCCUACCCCUCGCGGCCGGCGUGGUGCUGGUGGCGGUUGGAGCUCGGGCCACGUGGAGCGGGGGCGAGUGGGCGUGGUGUUCAUGCUGAUGCAGCAAAAGCUGCAGCUGUUCGUUCUCUCGCCUCAGCUCCUCGCUGUGCUUCCUCAGAGCUUCGUGCUGCAUUACAGCGCUGCUGCGGCUCUGCCGCAGCUGCUGCAGCUCCAGGAACCUACAGAUGUCCU